GUAAGGCGGUCGUGGAAUAAGAGCUGGGCAAGACCGGUGCCAGCCGCCGCGGUAAUACCGGCAGCUCAAGUGAUGACCGAUAUUAUUGGGCCUAAAGCGUCCGUAGCCGGCCACGAAGGUUCAUCGGGAAAUCCGCCAGCUCAACUGGCGGGCGUCCGGUGAAAACCACGUGGCUUGGGACCGGAAGGCUCGAGGGGUACGUCCGGGGUAGGAGUGAAAUCCCGUAAUCCUGGACGGACCACCGAUGGCGAAAGCACCUCGAGAAGACGGAUCCGACGGUGAGGGACGAAAGCUAGGGUCUCGAACCGGAUUAGAUACCCGGGUAGUCCUAGCUGUAAACGAUGCUCGCUAGGUGUG
rnacentral:rRNA from 1 species